CUGAAUCCUCCUGGGAGAACCUAGCUAAAGAUUCUACAUCAUCCACAUCAGACCAAUCACUUCCCACGGAGGGAUCCUUUUCCAGCAUAUCUCGCUCUUGGAACUGCAAGUCAAAUGGAAAACAACAUAUACAACCGAAACAAUCUUAACUUUGUGAACAGUAAACUGUAGGCAAUCCAGGAUGACCUAACAGAUCACCUCCAUCUCUAACAUCUAUGAUUUGGUUUCUUUUAUAAAGGAAAGACUGGAAGGAGAAUCCGAUUGGACUACAGAAUUGUAUGGGACUGAACACAAAGAUAAAGGGCAACAAUAUUCAUCUGCAGCUACAACAGGACUUGCAUCUUCAGAGUGCAAUGCAGCUGGAGAUGGAAUCAUACGGAAUUCAGCAGAGAACUUUCCUUAAGAAACAAAAACCCAUCAUAUCAUCUAGGAUAUGGAGUGCAAUGGAGAAUGUGGAAUACGAUUAUAUGAAACUAGGGUUUCCUCCUCUCCGUUCACAUGUGUUGAUAUGAAGGAGUAUCAAUUGGUUUCUUGGGAGACAAAGUAGGAGGAAUACCCUUGGGAAGAUCAGGGAUCCAGACCAAGGAUCACAGGACUUGGGUACACCACAAGCUGGGAAGCUUUUUCUGAUGAUGUUAAACUUUCUUUUGUUCCUAUUUAUAAACACUAAACUCUGCAGAAAAGAUCUUGUAGACUGCAACUGGGUUUUUCCCAAUAGCCAUUCCAUCGAAUUAUGUGAUCCAAAUGGGAGUCGCAUGUAUACGUUUCAGGGCAGAAUUUGGCUUUCUUGCAUUGGUUAUUAUUGAAUGGAUAUUAAAUGUCCAGCUGAGCUGAGUGUCUUAUGUUUGAAAAACUUGAUCAGAUAUAUGAGAAAUAACUAUGUGCACAGAAUAUAACCCAAUAUCUACAAACUGUA